CCAUGACAUGGACUCUACUAUUCCUUGUCUUCCUUCAUCACUUAACAGGGUCAUGUGCCCAGGUUGUGCUUACUCAGCCAAACUCUGUGUCUACAUCUCUAAGAAGCACAGUCAAACUGUCUUGCAAACUCAGCUCUGGUAACAUUGGAAACAACUAUGUGCACUGGUACCAGCAGCAUGAGGGAAGAUCUCCCACCACUAUGAUUUACAAUGAUGAUAAGAGACCGGAUGGAGUUCCUGAUAGGUUCUCUGGCUCCAUUGACAGCUCUUCCAACUCAGCCUUCCUGACAAUCAAUAAUGUGCAGACUGAAGAUGAAGCUGACUACUACUGUCACUCUUACAGUAGUGGUAUUAAUCACAGUGAUGUGAACCAUGGAGGAAAUUUCAAAAUCUUUGUGGUGAUGCAGGAAGCUAAUAUUUAUGACUACACGUAUGAAGUAAACAAUCCACAGCCUUUCAAGGAGGGCUUCCAUUCUCUCAAAAGAAAUCAUUGA